AUUGAACGCUGGCGGCAUGCCUUACACAUGCAAGUCGAACGGUAACAGGUCUUCGGAUGCUGACGAGUGGCGAACGGGUGAGUAAUACAUCGGAACGUGCCCGAUCGUGGGGGAUAACGAAGCGAAAGCUUUGCUAAUACCGCAUAAGAUCUAAGGAUGAAAGCAGGGGACCGCAAGGCCUUGCGCGAACGGAGCGGCCGAUGGCAGAUUAGGUAGUUGGUGGGAUAAAAGCUUACCAAGCCGACGAUCUGUAGCUGGUCUGAGAGGACGACCAGCCGGACUGGGACUGAGACCCGGCCCAGACUCCUACGGGAGGCAGCAGUGGGGAAUUUUGGACAAUGGGCGAAAGCCUGAUCCAGCCAUGCCGCGUGCAGGAUGAAGGCCUUCGGGUUGUAAACUGCUUUUGUACGGAACGAAAAGACUCUUUCUAAUAAAGAGGGUCCAUGACGGUACCGUAAGAAUAAGCACCGGCUGACUACGUGCCAGCAGCCGCUGUAAAAC
rnacentral:rRNA from 1 species